UACGUAGGUGGCAAGCGUUGUCCGGAUUUACUGGGCGUAAAGAGCGCGCAGGCGGUCGUUCAAGUCGCGUGUGAAAGCCCCCGGCUCAACUGGGGAGGUCACGCGAUACUGAUCGACUCGAAGGCAGGAGAGGGUAGUGGAAUCCCGUGUAGUGGUGAAAUGCGUAGAUAUCGGGAGGAACACCCAGUGGCGAAGGCGACUACCUGGCCUGUUCUUGACGCUGAGGCGCGAAAGCUAGGGGAGCAAACGGG
rnacentral:rRNA from 1 species